rnacentral:tRNA from 1 species
CCGGACGUAGCGCAGAGGCAGACGCACCGCCGUGCGCAGGCGAUCACGCCGGUUCGAAUCCGGCCGUCCGGA